CUGGCAAGCUACAGCCCAUGGGGUCUCAAGAGUCCAAGUCCCAAAUAGGUUUCUAAAACAACGAAUUUAAUGAAACAACAGCCACCAGACCUGUGCUCCGUGGUGCACGAUGCUCACAAAUGCGAGGAACCUAAGGUCACGAAGGCGCUCAGCGACCUUGCUCGUGUCUGCAGCAGCAAGAGGCCGACGCUCCUGCCAGAACCACCCCAGACACGGCGGCGGCGCGUGUCUUCAGUCUCCCCGCCCCCUCGCCCCGGCUCCCAACACGCAGGACAAAGGCUGCGGGGCCGUCCAAGCAGCUCAGGGAGAUAGCAAGGCCCCGCAACACGGGAUCCCAGCAACAAAAAGCGCGCAGAGGUCGCCUCGCUGGACCCGGGCGGCCCGCGGCCGAGGACCCAAAAUGACGUCUUCCAUCAAGGCCAGCAGUUGGUUGAUGUUCAUUGAGUUUGUGGAGUCCCAGCCCAAGAGAGGGGGUGGCACCUUCAGAGCUUUGAACAGGGAGCUGACAAGUCUCCACAGAUCCUGCAAGUCACCCAGUGGGAACAGGAUGUGAG